CGGCUAACUACGUGCCAGCAGCCGCGGUAAUACGUAGGUGGCAAGCGUUGUCCGGAAUUAUUGGGCGUAAAGCGCGCGCAGGCGGCCUCUUAAGUCUGAUGUGAAAGCCCCCGGCUCAACCGGGGAGGGCCAUUGGAAACUGGGAGGCUUGAGUAUAGGAGAGAAGAGUGGAAUUCCACGUGUAGCGGUGAAAUGCGUAGAGAUGUGGAGGAACACCAGUGGCGAAGGCGACUCUUUGGCCUGUAACUGACGCUGAGGCGCGAAAGCGUGGGGAGCAAACAGGAUUAGAUACCCUGGUAGUCCACGCCGUAAACGAUGAGUGCUAGGUGUUGGAGGGUUUCCGCCCUUUAGUGCUGCAGCUAACGCAUUAAGCACUCCGCCUGGGGAGUACGGUCGCAAGACUGAAACUCAAAGGAAUUGACGGGGGCCCGCACAAGCGGUGGAGCAUGUGGUUUAAUUUGAAGCAACGCGAAGAACCUUACCAGGUCUUGACAUCCUCUGACAACUCUAGAGAUAGAGCGUUCCCCUUCGGGGGACAGAGUGACAGGUGGUGCAUGGUUGUCGUCAGCUCGUGUUGUGAAAUGUUGGGUUAAGUCCCGCAACGAGCGCAACCCUUA
rnacentral:rRNA from 1 species